CGGCCGGCGUUCCUGCCCAUCGAUACCCCUCUCCAAUUCCUCACCGAUCUAGCAACCAUAACAAGUGAUCUUGAAGUAUAUUUGAUAGGAAUACGAUCCCUACCACGGAUUGGCCUUAGGUUGUAUGAGUGUGAGGGGACUGGGCGAGGGAGGAAACGCCCACGACUGUGUUUGGGCGCCGUGGAUGCUGGGCGCAGGGAAAGAGGGAGAUGGGCUGCUGAACGGAAGAACACACUGAUGAACAGUAGCGCGAUGAACAGUAGUGCGAUGAACAGUGGCGGCUAGGGUUUCUCCCAGCUCCCAGAGGGAAGCUGGAAACUAUAAUUGUUUCUGCUUAAUUCCAUAUAGGGUGGUGCUUACAAUUAUUUAUACUCCCUUCUAGUACUUAUCUAAUGAGAUCAAAUCCCUCUUUUCUCUCUAAUAAAUCUUAUCCCUUAAUCUUCUAAUCCUUAUCCAACUAAUCUGCAUGUGUAGA
rnacentral:lncRNA from 1 species